rnacentral:rRNA from 1 species
UACGUAGGGGGCAAGCGUUGUCCGGAUUUAUGGGGCGUAAAGAGCGUGUAGGCGGCCAGACAGGUCCGUUGUGAAAACUCGAGGCUCAACCUCGAGACGCCGAUGGAAACCGUCUGGCUAGAGUCCGGAAGAGGAGAGUGGAAUUCCUGGUGUAGCGGUGAAAUGCGCAGAUAUCAGGAAGAACACCCGUGGCUAAGGCGGCUCUCUAGUACGGUACUGACGCUGAGACGCGAAAGCGUGGGGAGCGAACAGG